GGUCUAACAAUGCAAGUCGGACGGUAGCACAGAGGAGCUUGCUCCUCGGGUGACGAGUGGCGGACGGGUGAGUAGUGUCUGGGGAUCUGCCCGAUAGAGGGGGAUAACCACUGGAAACGGUGGCUAAUACCGCAUAACGUCGCAAGACCAAAGAGGGGGACCUUCGGGCCUCUCACUAUCGGAUGAACCCAGAUGGGAUUAUCUAGUAGGCGGGGUAGCGGCCCACCUAGGCGACGAUCCCUAGGUGGUCUGAGAGGAUGACCAGCCACACUGGAACUGAGACACGGUCCAGACUCCUACGGGAGGCAGCAGUGGGGAAUAUUGCACAGUGGGCGCAAGCCUGAUGCACCCGUGCCGCGUGUAUGAAGAAGGCCUUCGGUUUGUAAAGUACUUUCAGCGGGGAGGAAGGCAGUGAGGUUAAUAACCUUACUGAUUGACGUUACCCGCAGAAGAAGCACCGGCUAACUCCGUGCCAGCAGCCGCGGUAAUACAGAGGGUGCAAGCGUUAAUCGGAAUUACUGGGCGUAAAGCGCACGCAGGCGCUCUGUUAACUCAUAUGUGAACUCCCCGGUCUUACCCUGGGAACUGCAUUUGAAACUGGCACGCUUGACUCUCGUAGAGGGGGGUAGAAUUCCAGGUGUAGCGGUGAAGUGCGUAGAGAUCUGGAGGAAUACCGGUGGCGAACGCGGCCCCCUGGACGAACACUGACGCUCAUGUGCGAAAGCGUGGGGAGCAAACAGGAUUAUAUACCCUGAUACUCCACGCCGUACACGAUGUCGACUUGGAGGUUGCUCCCUUGAGGAGUGUCUUCCAGAGCUAACGCGUUAACUCGACCGCCUGGAGAAUACGGCCGCAAGGUUAACACUCAUAUGAAUUGACGGGGGCCCGCACAAGCGGUGGAGC
rnacentral:rRNA from 1 species